rnacentral:lncRNA from 1 species
GAGCAGGUAAUUGCUGUUCUUGUUUAUGGUUUUUAAUGGUACCAGGUGCAUUCUGGCAUUUGACUUGCAUUUUAGGUUGGUUCCAUAUCAGGUCUUUCAGCUUUUUUGUGCACUUGUGCCAUAAUGGUAUUCUGAGAAAAUGUUGAAAAGAAUCGUUGAUGCCAUGAAUAGAUAUUAGAAGCUGCAUGAAAUCAAUGUCUGAAUGAUACUUGUUUGAAAAAUGAUCAACUUUUGGUUGGUUAGUCAGAGUAUGCCAUUUGAUUUUUGAUGGAACUACAAAUUUUACAUCAAGGUUUUUCCCCAAUUGCUGAAAAAUCGAUGUCUAUUCAAGUUUGUGCCCCUUCCUUCUCCAUCAAACUCAUAAAAGUACCUGGAAUAAUAAUAUGAUCUCUGACAAUCAGGUUUGUCAGUUAACCAAUAAAGAAGAUACAACUGAUUCAGUUUUGGUCUAACAUCAAGCCAAACAAUCUCCUGCCAAACAAACUCCAGAUUAAGUGUUAUAGUUGAAGACAGACCACUUUACAUAUCAAUACCUAUAAUUGUAGUUAUAUCUAUUAUGUUAAUUUGAUCUUCAGAUGAAAUGUUUAUAACUACUUUUACAUUUCUUAUAUCAACCUAGAUUGCCAUCUUGAUUUCUGCACAUUGUUAACCUUAUAAUUUGCUCCUAGCCUCACUUGGCUCUUUAUAAAACCAAUGUUUAUUUCUUGGUGCUAUUUUUUUUGUGUAAAUGUUUUCUAAAUGACAGUUACUCUACUUGUAUUGCAGGGGAUGCAUUUGUUGGGGGAUUUUUGUCUCAAUUGGUUAAAGAGAAGCCAAUUGCAGAAUGUGUGCGAGCCGGUUGCUAUGCAGCGAAUGUCAUCAUCCAAAGAUCAGGUUGCACAUACCCCGAGAAGCCAGAUUUUAAUUAGGCUCGUCUCUCAGAAGACCCAAUGAUGUCUGUGUUUCGUUAAGAAGAAUAGAGCUAUUUCAUUUAUUGGCUAUUGUCUUCCAGUCAUGAUUGUUUCCUGCAUUAUUGUCUCCUGAAUCCAUUUAUCCGGUAAAGGAGGUAUUUUAUUUUGAAUUUAUGUUUUUGUAUUUUAUUUGAGUGAUAAAGAAAAAUAUCUGCUUCGGAGGUUGGAACAACAUUCAAUGUAGAAUGCUGCAUCUGUUAGAUGAUAUUGUCCUCAAUAUGGAUGAGGUACAUUAAGGCAUUAGCCUUGCGAGAUGUGUUUUCUUAAUACUAAAAUGCUUAGUAGCAUACUGAGGCUUAAUUGAUUUUGCUAGUCUUGUAUGAAGAACAAGUGACCAGAAUGAAUGAAUGUUUUUCUUCAAGCAAAUGGGUUUCAUACUUUCAUAUUAUCUACAUGUGAUGUAUCCCCCAUUGCCUAUUUGAGAAAUAGAGUCAUUCUAAUACUACUUUAGUAGUUUAUGGUCUGGGAAUGGUGUGCUGUAUUUGUUGAUACAUUUGUUGUUUAAUAAUUGUAUUGGAGAAAUGUACCUCCAUCCUAAAAAAAGUAGUUAGAAACAUGAAGAAAUUAUUACUUUUUUUGUUUUUACUUUUUAUUAAUUUUAAAUGGGUUUUAGGGGCCAGAGAACAAUCCUAGUAAUAAGUUUUAGUUGCUCCAUCAGAGGGUCAUUUCUUGUUAAUUUAGUUUGAGUUUUAGUUUCUCUGUAAGGGUCAUAUUUCUUAGUUUUGGAUAUUGUAGUUCCUAAACACCUUUUAUUUUUUUUGGUCUUUUGGAACAAACUUGAUUUGUAAAAUUUUGAAUGAUUAAUACAUAUAUUUACUCUUUCAAAAUAAAGUUUUUUUUACAAAAUUCAUCCUUAUUGCCCGCAUAUCUAUAUUAAUAAGGGUUAAAUGUUUUUUUAUUUACUCUACUUUAGGUCAACUUAUAAAUAAGUCACUCAACCGUUUUUUACUGUCAACUAAUUGUACUUUACUUUUUUAACAAAAAAUUGAAUUUCAACAGAAUAGUAACUUGGAAAUGUCACAUAUUUAUUGAAUCCUAAUUGGAAUUUACUUUUAACAACAUUAUACACAUAAGCAAAAACAAGUAUAUCCAUGUCCACCCGAUCCGACCCAACGAAUUUCAUCAAUGUUAAAUAGGAAAUUAGACAUCAAAAGGGGAUAAAUUUAGGUUCUUACCAACAUUUAGAUCUGAAAGGUAUAUAGGUAUGUACUUGCAACACAAUCCCAUCUUUAAUUCUUCUUCUUCAUCAUCACUACCAUCCACCACAUAAAUUUUCGAGCUUUAAGUGAGAAACAAAGCAACCCAUCAAUGGUGGUUCCAGCUGGCUUUCUUUUUAUACUUUCACUUCUCCUUUCUUGCUUGGCUGGCACUUGCUCUGCUUCCGAUACCCACUCCACUCUCCGAGUAGAAUGGAUUUGUUUUAGACAAUGAAUUUGCGUGCAGUUCUUAAAGCUGGGGAGGAGGAAAUCACAAUGACAUGGUCACUCAACAAUAGUUUCCCAGCAGUGAUGAUGAAGAAGAAUUAAAGAUGGGAUUGAGUAGACUUACGGUUCAUGUUUUGCACAACCUCUGUAUUCGGCAACCUAUUUCUAAUUCUUGUUUUUGGUUAUCUCAUGUACCUUUUUACAAAUUGGGAAUCAAAUUAAUUUUUAUGAAAUGGGAUAAAUGAAUUAAUUGGUUACUGUGAACGAUUUAAAGAAUAAUUAGUAGAUCUAGGUUUUUGGAGGUGAAUGAUGGGUUUGAUUUUUUUUUAGAUUUGAAUUAUAGUGGAGUUUAAAUUGUGUUAAAUAUUGCGGUGUAAAAUUUGGAUAAAUUACAUAUAUUAUUAC